rnacentral:misc_RNA from 1 species
AUGGAAUCCAACGGUCAUGUUUGCAUAAGAAAGGAAAAACAUUCUAAACUUCCCAUCUAAUACCGUUUUCUAGGAGAGUUCUUCCCCAAAGAAUGCUUUGCCAUCCCUAAGCCGGUCUAAAUCCUCUUUGGGCUUGGAGAAAAGAGGUAAAAGGGAAGUAUUUUUCUUUAAGCAAUCUUGACAAGAGAGAAUCCGAGUCAGAAAGAAUUCUCCAACUUUGUUUCACUAGUAGUGCCAUUUUAAAGCUUUGAAUAUAUCUAAAUCCCAUGCCUCCACAUUUUUUGGGUUCGCAUAACCGAUUCCAUGAA